AACUGGGGCUAAUCCCCGAUAGGUAAGGAAUCCUGGAAUGGAUCUUUGCUGAAAGGGCGUCUAGACCAUGCUUCUUGACGUCGCCCAAGGAUGGAGCCGCGACCGAUCAGGCUGUUGGCGAGGCAACGGCUCACCAAACCUAUAACCGGUACGGGCCGUGAGAGCGGGAGCCCGGAGAUGGGCACUGAGACAAGGGCCCAGGCCCUACGGGGCGCAGCAGUUGCGAAAACUCCGCAAUAUGCGAAAGCGUGACGGGGCUACCCCGAGUGCCGCCCGCUGAGGGCGGCUUUUCCACGGUGUAAGGAGCCGUGGGAAUAAGGAGAGGGCAAGACUGGUGUCAGCCGCCGCGGUAAUACCAGCUCUCCGAGUGGUGAGGACGAUUAUUGGGCUUAAAGCGUUCGUAGCCGGCUUAACAAGUCUUCCGUUAAAUCCAACGAUCUAAUCGUUGGGCCGCGGGAGAUACUGUUGGGCUAGGAGGCGGGAGAAGCCGACGGUAUUCCCGGGGUAGGGGUGAAAUCCUGUAAUCCCGGGAGGACCACCAGUGGCGAAGGCGGUCGGCUAGAACGCGCUCGACGGUGAGGGACGAAAGCUGGGGGAGCGAACCGGAUUAGAAACCCGGAUAGUCCCAGCUGUAAACGAUGCGGGCUAGGUGUUGGGGUGGCCACGAGCCACCUCAGUGCCGCAUGGAAGCAAUUAAGCCCGCCGCCUGGGGAGUACGGCCGCAAGGCUGAAACUAAGAGGAAUGNGCGGGGAGCACCACA
rnacentral:rRNA from 1 species